CAGUCUGCACACAGUGAGGACAGCUCUUUAUCACACACUGCGUUUUUACACGUUUAUAAGCUUUUGUUUCUGCUUGGUGAACUCACAUUCAUGUUAACAACUAAAGGUGAGACACGCACACCAAGCUCCUGCUGUCUGGUUAAAGGGCGCGAGAUAUAAACCAAUCACCUCGGAUGUAAUAUCUCUGUUCAUGUAUUAUUCACAUAUAAAUGUGUGUGUUAAAGCUGCAUUGUUGGCAGUGAGACUGGGUCAGGGUUUUUGUAUUAUCCAGACUGGUAUCAGGAGACUCUCCAAUUGCUACAAUUCCAUUCAAUGCAAUUCAGCCGUCAAUUCAAUUUUAUUUAUAUGGCGCCAAAUCACAACAGGACACUUAACAUUACAAAAGCAGACAUUUAUGUGUGGUUACCCCAGGCAGACAGCCCUGAAAAAUGCAGCCAAUCCAUAAGUGGAAAAGAAAACAAAAAACUGCAGGUCCUCUAGUGGCCACUAGAGGACCUGCACAAACACCCAUGUUAAAAUGCCCAAACACAGCAUUAAAACCAUGUUUGUAGUCCAGUAUAAAAAGCUUUUAGGCUCUUUGGAUAGUGUACCCCUUCAUAACAGCUGUGAGGUGAAUGAUUUUUAUUGCUAACACAAAAAAACAUCUGUCAAAUCUGACUGACAGAUGUUCACACAGGGAGCUGUGGCCUCACUGUGCUGGUGCCUUGUGAAGCAUUUUUAAUGGAAUUAUCUGUGAAAUAAUGUGACUUCCUGUUUGGCUGAAUCCAUUCCAAAGACGCUGUGCUCUCGGAGAGUAAAAUGAUUAUUGAGUAUUUUAUUACGUGCAUCUGUGUGUUGGACUGUUUAUGAACGCAGCUUGCUUAUGAAGCCAACCAGCUAAACUCAUGCUGAGGCUUCUAACUGCAUCUGAAAGCAAUUAAUGAUAACAGGGUGGCUAUGUCCAUUGUUUAUAUACAGUCUGUAGUGGUUUCCAACGUCCACAGUGGAAAACCCCCGACAUAUACAAACAAACACAAUAACUGAUAUCAAAAUGAAGAUUUACUGGUCAGGUUGGAAAAGUCGGAAAAAGGUACUCUGGACUGAAACAUCUGCUUUGAAAUAACUUUUAAAUGUAGAAUUCAGUUAUUGAAUCAGAGCCUGAAAUUAUGCAGACUUUCUCUUUUUUGUGUGAAAUGUGCACACCGUUGGUUUAUCAUGGUGUUUUCUUUAUAAAAGCUAUACUAUGCAUUUAUUCUAGAGGUUACUUCUGAUAUAAGCCAGUAUCUUUUACCCAUAACAAAUUUAAAGAAGGCGUUAGCUGCACAGUGUUCUGUAUAGACUGUGUUUUUUAAAGUGAAUUCAUGAUUUGAGCCCAAAGAUCGGAGAUUUUAAAUGUGGCCUAAACUCAGUAUAACGGAGCUGACUAGAAACUGAGCGUGCCAUCUUCAACACAACUUAAAAUACAUGACAUAAUUGUAUCUGUAAAAUGAAAAGACUGCUCCACCUGUGGAUAACAAGAAGAGGUAAAACAUUUCUGAGCAGUCCCUGCACUGAUCCGUCUCACCUGACCACAUCCAUGGAGGCGGCGCCGGACUUGAAGAAGUCUGUGGUGUCCUCAAUGGCUGGCACGUUGCUGAGGAUGCCCUUCCAGAUGUUCUGCAGUAAAAAAAUGUUUUAAAUGGGCUGAUGUCUUUCAUUUAAAUCAUUUACAGUCUAUUGGGAGACAGCAGGCUAAAAAGAAUCAGAUAACACAGGGGUUCACUUGCCCUGAUCUCCUCUGCCAUUGUCUUCUCGUCAUCGGUCAGCUCCACACUGGCGCUUUCUCCAGAAGAGAAAUAUUUGGAAGCAGGAAUCAUUUUCCCAUCUUCAAACUGCAGGUUCUUCACUAGGAGCUGUGGCAC